rnacentral:rRNA from 1 species
GGGCUUGACAUCCCACGAACCUGCUGAAAGGGAGGAGUGCCCGCAAGGGAGCGCGGACACAGGUGGUGCAUGGCUGUCCUCGGCUCGUGUCGUGAGAUGUUGGGUUAACUCCCGCGACGAGCGCAACCCUCACCCCUUGUUGCUACCAGGUAAAGCUGGGCACUCUAGGGGAACUGCCCCGGUCAACGGGGAGGAAGGUGGGGAUGACGUCAAGUCAUCAUGCCCCUUACGUCCUGGGCUACACGACUGCUACAAUGGCCGGUACUCAGGGAUGCCGCACCUGGAGGUACACCUAAACCCAAAAAGCCGGUCUAAGUUCAGAUUGGAGUCUGCGACUCGACUCCUUGAAGGAGGAAUCGCUAGUAAUCGCGUAUCAACACGACGCGGUGAAUACGUUCCCGGGCCUUGUACACACCUGCCGUCACACCACCAAAGCUGUCUGUACUCGAAGUCGCUGAG